GGCGGCGUGCUAAUACAUGCAAGUCGAACGGGAAGCCUCGGACUUGUCUGGGGUGGAGAGUGGCGAACGGGUGAGUAACACGUAUGUGACCUGCCUCGAAGAUGGGGAUAACUGUUGGAAACGGCAGCUAAUACCCAAUGCACUCGGUAAUUCGGUUUAUCGAGUAAAGCGCCCCUCACGGGGAUAGCGCUUCGAGAUGGGCCUGCGGCCUAUCAGCUAGUUGGUAGGGUAAUGGCCUACCAAGGCGAGGACGGGUAGGGGGCGUGAGAGCGUGACCCCCCACACUGGCACUGAGACACGGGCCAGACUCCUACGGGAGGCAGCAGUCGGGGAUAUUGCGCAAUGGACGAAAGUCUGACGCAGCGACGCCGCGUGAGUGAUGAAGGCCUUCGGGUUGUAAAACUCUUUUAUGGGGGAAGAGGAAGGACGGUACCCCAUGAAUAAGCGUCGGCUAACUACGUGCCAGCAGCCGCGGUAAAACGUAGGACGCAAGCGUUAUCCGGAUUUACUGGGCGUAAAGAGCGUUGAGGCGGUUCUGUAAGUUGGGCGUGAAAGCCCUCGGCUUAACUGAGGGACGCCGUCCAAUACUGCAGGACUUGAGGGCAGCAGAGGGAGGUGGAAUUCCCGGUGUAGCGGUGAAAUGCGUAGAGAUCGGGAGGAACACCAGUGGCGAAGGCGGCCUCCUGGGCUGCUUCUGACGCUGAAUGCGAAAGCUAGGGUAGCGAACGGGAUUAGAAACCCCGGUAGUCCUAGCUGUAAACGAUGGAUGCUAGGUGUAGGAGGUAUAGAUCCCUUCUGUGCCGAAGCUAACGCGAUAAGCAUCCCGCCUGGGGACUACGGCCGCAAGGCUAAAACUCAAACGAAUUGACGGGGGCCCGCACAAGCAGCGGAGCGUGUGGUUUAAUUCGAUGCUACACGAAGAACCUUACCUGGGUUUGACAUGUAGGUAGUAGUGAAGCGAAAGC
rnacentral:rRNA from 1 species